AAGCAGUGGGGAAUUUUGGACAAUGGGGGCAACCCUGAUCCAGCCAUCCCGCGUGUGCGAUGAAGGCCUUCGGGUUGUAAAGCACUUUUGGCAGGAAAGAAAUCGCACGGGAUAAUACCUUGUGUGGAUGACGGUACCUGCAGAAUAAGCACCGGCUAACUACGUGCCAGCAGCCGCGGUAAUACGUAGGGUGCAAGCGUUAAUCGGAAUUACUGGGCGUAAAGCGUGCGCAGGCGGUUCGGAAAGAAAGAUGUGAAAUCCCAGGGCUUAACCUUGGAACUGCAUUUUUAACUACCGGGCUAGAGUGUGUCAGAGGGGGGUGGAAUUCCGCGUGUAGCAGUGAAAUGCGUAGAUAUGCGGAGGAACACCGAUGGCGAAGGCAGCCCCCUGGGAUAACACUGACGCUCAUGCACGAAAGCGUGGGGAGCAAACAGGAUUAGAUACCCUGGUAGUCCACGCCCUAAACGAUGUCAACUAG
rnacentral:rRNA from 1 species